GCGAGAGUGGCGGAAUUGGCAGACGCGCUGGCUUUAGGAGCCAGUGUCUUCGGACGUGGGGGUUCGAGUCCCCCCUCUCGCA
rnacentral:tRNA from 1 species